UCCUCCUGGUGUAUGUCUCUGGUAGAGGCCUACCUAUGUCAGCAUCACUCUCGAAGGGUUUAUUAAAAAAACAAACAAACAAACAACCAAACAAAAAGGAGUAGUGGAGUGGGCAGUCAGCCUCGUCCCAAAUCACCAGUUUUCAGGGAAUCCCAACUUAAAAGCACUGCUAACCUGUCCCAAGCACCUGUUGGAUGGCAUCCAUUAACUUGGACUUUAUGCUGAAGGUGCGACCAGGCCAGAAGACUAUUCAGGACCACAGCUCCGCGGGCGGGCCUUCUGGGCUACCCACUGAUAUGCAGGAUUAAUCACCACGAAUGAUGGUAUGUGGUUCAAGUACACACACAUGUGCUACAAAAGUCACAAGGUCCAAAAGACAACACAGCAAUAGUCCACAGGGGGCUCGUGUGCACGGAAACCUGCUCGGACCCUUGCAUCCCCUUCGAGCACCCACGUCCUAAUCAAUUCAAGCAUGUUUACGGAGACCUCUGAGACGCCCUGUGCAAUAAACUCCAAGCGGUUUAAAACUA